AGAUUAACUGAGUUGUCAUGGCUGUGUUUGUUGAUGGCUCAGGUUAGCCAACUGUCAGUCGGCCAACCGAUUGACAGUCGGCAGGUUGUGCUUAUAAGAUCGAUCGAAGGUCAGAAUCGGAGAAUCAACUAAAUCAUCCCAACAUAAUUUAUUACCAUUAAGUUUCUAAUUAUCAAAUGGUCAUGUCUAUUUAAUCUUGUUUUUAUUUUCUGAUCGUUAGGCAUUGUAUUAAAGGUUUUGAUCGUUGGACUCCAUAAUAAAAAUCUUAAUGGGUUAAUAAAAAUCUCAAUAGCUAUAAACGAUCGUAAACGGUCAUUUUGGUUGGAUACAAAAAGGGCCCUUACGACCUAAUCCAAUAGACCAUCCA
rnacentral:lncRNA from 1 species